rnacentral:lncRNA from 1 species
GGAUGUGGCAAAUCCAAAUAUUGGCCAUUGGAGAAGGCUGCUGGUGUCCUGCCUGCUGUCCAGGAGCUGACCACAAUGAAACCUUUCCUAAGUGUGAUGCAUGCUCGAGCCCAAUGCCCCAAGUGUGAAAUUAAAUAGAGUGGUAGAAACCAAGAAAAGGCAGGUUUGCUGGUGAAGAGGUGGUGCAAGCGAAUAGCUACCUCACGAGCAAAUACUGUACAUGUCCAAAGCAGAAUGGGUGGACAUGCUUACAUUGCAUGCAAUGUGGUGAAACGACAAAAAAAAAAUCCUUUCUACAUAGACUUGUCAGAGACUCCAGGAAGAAAGUGGAAGGCUAGCUGAAUUAAAAA